CUGGCGACACAAUGAUCUUUUCUAAUCCUAUAAAGAAAGUUGACAUGCUGAUUCCAAAAGAAAAACUAGAUUAAAAUCUCACCUUACGCCAAAAAAACGGAAUUGUGUAUUUAGUACGUAAAGUGACGAUUCCAAGAAAAUAGAAAAAUUUGUUAGUAAAUAACCUCAAAGAAUUACAAUUGUAUGUUCGCGUAUAAAACCACAUCGUGACCGACACUUUCGUUCAGACCGUGUAAGAGUAUCCUACUGUGACGGACAGUUUUAAGUUGCAGAAUGAAAGCGUGGUUCGUGGUGGUCUUAAUUGGUGUUAUACCUUUCGCUGUUGGCGCAAAUGAGGACAAUGAAAGGUAUCCAAUUCCACUAAUGAGGUCUGCCAGAUUGCAACGGAGAUCGCCUACGUACACGAAUACGGGUUUCCCAGUUCAUAACCCGCCGAAAGUUGUAGUUUUGUCGAAUGGUGACGUUACAUUAGUGCCACUGGUAGACAGAGGCUCUAAUCUGGAUAGUUCAGUUGGUCAAAACGGUAUGGGUGCUCCUGGAACCAGUGCAAAUGUGCCAAAAAAUACCCAAGAUAGUUGCGCUUUGGCAGUUAUAUCGUGCUGUUCCGCCACGACGGAUGGUGUGAAUACUUGCUUUCAACAGUUAGGGUGCAUCGGGUCAUUUUUGGGCAGCAGCCCUUGUGAGAGUGAAUUUGCUCAUGCGGUUAUUGAAAAUGCAGUUAAUGCCUUCGAAAUAUAGUUAAAUGAACAUUCAAGUUCAAUAUCUGUUUGAACGGAACGAAGGAUAAUAUGGCUUUGUAUAUAUCAUCUUAAGGAAGUGAUAGAUUUAGUCAAAAUGCAAACCAAUGUCACUGUCGAAUAUGGGCAUUUCAAUACAAAUCAAAAUGUAAUUUUUUACUCAAUAUUCGGUUGCAAAAAGAACAACCCAUAA